rnacentral:hammerhead_ribozyme from 1 species
AUCCAGCUGAAAAAAACCAAGUCCCAAAUAGGACGAAACACGCGUUCUGGAU